GACGGGUGCGAUCAUACCAGCACUAAGGAUCC
rnacentral:rRNA from 1 species